rnacentral:rRNA from 1 species
GACGAACGCUGGCGGCGUGCUUAACACAUGCAAGUCGAACGAUGAAGCCGGAGCUUGCUCUGGUGAAUUAGUGGCGAACGGGUGAGUAACACGUGAGUAACCUGCCCUUGACUCUGGGAUAACUGCUAGAAAUGGUAGCUAAUACCGGAUACGACCCUCGGAGGCAUCUCCAGGGGGUGGAAAGAAUUUCGGUCAGGGAUGGACUCGCGGCCUAUCAGCUAGUUGGUGAGGUAAUGGCUCACCAAGGCGACGACGGGUAGCCGGCCUGAGAGGGUGACCGGCCACACUGGGACUGAGACACGGCCCAGACUCCUACGGGAGGCAGCAGUCGGGAAUAUUGCACAAUGGGCGCAAGCCUGAUGCAGCAACGCCGCGUGAGGGAUGACGGCCUUCGGGUUGUAAACCUCUUUUAGCAGGGAAGAAGCGAAAGUGACGGUACCUGCAGAAAAAGCACCGGCUAACUACGUGCCAGCAGCCGCCGUAA